rnacentral:rRNA from 1 species
GCCAGACUCCUACGGGAGGCAGCGGUGGGGAAUAUUGCACAAUGGGGGGAACCCUGAUGCAGCGACGCCGCGUGAGUGAAGAAGUAUUUCGGUAUGUAAAGCUCUGUCAGCAGGGAAGAAGAAAGACGGUACCUGACCAAGAAGCCCCGGCUAACUACGUGCCAGCAGCCGCGGUAAUACGUAGGGGGCAAGCGUUAUCCGGAUUUACUGGGUGUAAAGGGAGCGUAGACGGCAUGGCAAGUCAGAUGUGAAAGCCCGGGGCUCAACCCCGGGACUGCUCUGGAAACUGUGCAGCUAGAGUGCAGGAGAGGCAGGCGGAAUUCCUAGUGUAGCGGUGAAAUGCGUAGAUAUUAGGAAGAACACCAGUGGCGAAGGCGGCUUUCUGGACUGAAACUGACGCUGAGGCACGAAAGCGUGGGGAGCGAACAGGAUUAGAUACCCGAGUACUC